rnacentral:rRNA from 1 species
UACGUAGGGUGCGAGCGUUGUCCGGAAUUAUUGGGCGUAAAGGGCUCGUAGGCGGUUUGUCGCGUCGGGAGUGAAAACACACAGCUUAACUGUGUGCUUGCUUCCGAUACGGGCAGACUAGAGGUAUGCAGGGGAGAACGGAAUUCCUGGUGUAGCGGUGAAAUGCGCAGAUAUCAGGAGGAACACCGAUGGCGAAGGCAGCUCGCUGGGACGGUACUGACGCUGAGACGCGAAAGCGUGGGGAGCAAACAGG